GGCACUGUUGUUUCCAAGUAGGUCUGAAAGCCUCCUCUACUGAACAUUGAUGUUACCUGUAGCUGAAUAUAAUAAAUGAGGAUAGCCAAUGUGGAAUUGACGGAACUCUGUGACCUGAAGCCCCGAUGCACUAAGGAUUACCUAGAAGAGAACCAGCCCAGCUCAUCUCUUUUGGGUGAAAGAAGUGAUCACAGAUUAGUGUAACAGAAUUUGGAUGCAUAGCAGUUCACAUUCACAAAUAUGAGAAAGCAGAUGGCUUUGUGAAAAAUGAUGCCUCUGUGAGGAUUCUGAGGCAUUUCCUUCAUUAAUCUACGUGCCAAGAGUUUCUCAUUUCAACCAUGCUCAUCUGGACAAGUUCAAGUGGACAAUUACAACCAACAUUGUGCCACAAGAUCUUCUACAUAUAAUGGAGCCGAGCGGUGAAGCCCAUAUUUAAUAUGUCAUUUGAAAAGGAGAACCCCUAACAGUGCAAAGCUGUUUUAGUGCUGUACAGAAAUACUAGCUUUCAUGUUUGUGCUCAAGCCUGGAGUUGAACUUUAAUUCAGGACCUGGUGAUUCAGAGGUGGAACGUGAGCUUGGGCUACAUUCUAGUGCUGAAAGCAUCCGUCAGUGCUCUAAAUGACUGGCCUUUGGGAGACACACUGCAUAUAUGUGGAAUACUGAAGCUGCACCUAGCAGAAGGAGUAGUUCCUCCAAGUAACUCAUGUGGAGGGAUUGGUUGAGGAGAGAGUGUAGUAACUUUGUGCUAGCUAGCCCUUUGCACUCAACCAGUGACUUAACUGGUAAUCCUCUACAGCAAGGCUUUGUUACAAUGUGCACUGCCAGUGGCUACUUGCCAAGCUAACAGAUGUUCCCUUUCUCUGUGUUGAGAUUUCCCAAAAUGUUUGUAUUGGCACUGAGGGAAAGUAGGAAGCAGACCGGCACAUUAUAAUCCAUCAGGCAUUACAGCCCUGCAAGCACCUACACAGAGAUAUCCACUUCAGGGGAAGCAGUCUGGCAGAAUCAGAGAGGAACACCUUGUGACGCACUCACAGGGGGAAUCAAAUGCUGAUCAUAGCAAGCUUGAGGAUUGGAAGUUUAAUACCUUAUGUGGGCUGUACUGAUUAACUAGCAUAAGUUUUCAUGCAAUCCUUUGGGAAUCAU